rnacentral:pre_miRNA from 1 species
UUUUUACUCACUCCGUUCCGAAUUACUUGUCGCAGGUAUGGAUGUAUCUAGAUGUAUUUUAGUUCUAGAUACAUCCAUUUCUACGACGAGUAAUUUGGAACGGAGGGAGUACAAG